rnacentral:lncRNA from 7 species
AGUACAUCUGCAUUUUGAUAUUACUGGCAUUAAAAAGCUUGCUAUAUCUGGCCAGUAAAGCACUCUGAGUGUCAGGAGUGGCGAGUCUGUGCCAUACGCAAUGCGGGCACAUCGCAGCUCGAUCUUGAUCCUAUUCCUAACGUGACCUUCAUCUUCAGAUCUCCAGGAGUGCCCUGGGUGUUACACCCAGCAUCCUUCCCUGGAACAGGCUAAGAAACCUGCUAUGGGUCUAGGAGUUCAUAACGCAUCUGCAACAAAACAAGAGGUGCUCUGCAGCCUGGCGUUGGGAAGGAGCUGAUUGCCUUUGAGACCCAGCAGGCAGCCAAAUGGAGCACAAGGCAUUCAGCAAGUCCCAAGCAGAGGUAGCCUCUCCCUGGAGACACUGUUAGAGGCCUCCAUAUCUUUCAGAGAGGCUGACACAUUUUCCUAACGUACGGGUCCAGGGAUGCUGGACUAUCUAGCUGCAGCGAUGGAAAGCUGGCUCAGCUUGGGUAUGUCCCACAGCACAUCCUGCAGGAACUGUAUCUAUCCUGCAUCUGUUUUAAAAUGACUGCAAUUUCUUCUCAC